GAAACAUCCUCUCCACAUCUACUUUUACUGUUUGGAUCGCUCAGUAUUUGGGGGAACAAUGGGCCUUUGGGAUCUUCAGCAUUGCCCUGCCCUUCAAGUCCACGGCUGGUGAUCUAUCUCCAACAUUUUGCUGCACAGUGCCAGAGGGAAAGAUUGAGCAGAAGCCCAUUGGAGCUUCGUCACUACGGACUGCAACCUGUUCCAAAGAGAGAGGUCAGAUGUCACCAGAAACCCACUGUAACCACUCUGGAAACUGCUCUUCCAGGGUGCAGGACGUUACUCAUUACAUAUCCUUCCAAAGGUUGUCUAUGUAGACAGCAAGACUUAACCUGUUGGAGUCAUGAGGACCAGUGGGUAUAUUGUCCAGCUAAGGAGUUGUUCUGGUCCUGACCUCCCUUUCUUUUGCAGCAGGUGACUCAAAUCCCACCCACCCUUUCAAAGGUCAUUGUAAAAGCCUCUAAUAAAGAGCCGUGAUCUU